UUAUCUUAUUCUUUUCUUACAUCGGCCGGUAUUUGCUCCACCUACCCGGUCUAUUGCUCUCUAUAUUUAAACUAUCACCUGCAAAUAUACAUACACUUUUUAGAAGAAACAGGUGGUCCGGAUGUUUGAGGCUUAAUCUUCAAAAACUCUUUAACUAAAUCUCGAAGCGUGUGGAUCUGGAAGCCACUUCAGCGGAUGUGAUGUUUGAUGACGAGCGUCACCUGCUCGUAUUGUUUAAUACGCAACGAGUGAAUUUUCGUGGGUGCUCAGACUCUUAGACGACCCGUUGCAGAAAUCCGACACUUAUAUACAUUACUUUUAUGAUUGCCUCCCGUUCUUCGCGACGUAACGUGCCAAGAAAAAAAACUUACGACGAAUAGAAGGAAAGAUGAAGACUGAAGAACACUGCGGACUACGGCUGUAAGAAUUUAAAAAACAAGUAAAAUAAUAAUAAAUAAAAAAUUUUAAUAAAAAAAAAAAACAUUUGCAAGCAAACCAAAAGGGCACGUGCCCCGCCAAAGCGUUUAUCCGGCGGAACGCACGUACA